CCGGGGCAGUGGCGGACGGGUGAGUAACACGUGGGAACGUGCCCUUAGGUUCGGAACAACACAGGGAAACUUGUGCUAAUACCGGAUGUGCCCUUUUGGGGAAAGAUUUAUCGCCUUUGGAGCGGCCCGCGUCUGAUUAGCUAGUUGGUGAGGUAAGAGCUCACCAAGGCGACGAUCAGUAGCUGGUCUGAGAGGAUGGCCAGCCACACUGGGACUGAGACACGGCCCAG
rnacentral:rRNA from 1 species